CAUGUGGUUAGGCCGGAUGAGCAAGUCUAGACUCUGUUCAUUGAUUGGUUAAGGGUAUGUGUGAGUGUAGCUAUUUAUGGGAGGAGCUAUAGUGCAAAAUAAGCAAUGUACUCCAUGUGUUCGGGCUCAGAUCUGUUGUGGAACGUUAGUCCAUCUGAGACCUGAUGGGUACGUGAAUAAAGGCCUCUUACUUCCUAAAUGCCU